rnacentral:rRNA from 1 species
GAUGAACGCUGGCGGCGUGCCUAAUACAUGCAAGUCGAGCGAACAGAUAAGGAGCUUGCUCCUUUGACGUUAGCGGCGGACGGGUGAGUAACACGUGGGUAACCUACCUAUAAGACUGGGAUAACUUCGGGAAACCGGAGCUAAUACCGGAUAAUAUUUCGAACCGCAUGGUUCGAUAGUGAAAGAUGGUUUUGCUAUCACUUAUAGAUGGACCCGCGCCGUAUUAGCUAGUUGGUAAGGUAACGGCUUACCAAGGCGACGAUACGUAGCCGACCUGAGAGGGUGAUCGGCCACACUGGAACUGAGACACGGUCCAGACCCCUACGGGGGGCAGAAGUAGGGAAUCUUCCGCAAUGGGGGAAAGCCUGACGGAGCAACGCCGGGGGGGUGAUGAAGUUCUUGGGAUCGUAAAACUCUGUUAUUGGGGAAAAACAUACGUGUAAGUAACUGUGCCCGUCUUGACGGUACCUAAUCAGAAAGCCCCGGCUAACUACG